rnacentral:rRNA from 1 species
UAUGAACGCUGGCGGCGUGCCUAAUACAUGCAAGUCGAGCGAACGGACGAGAAGCUUGCUUCUCUGAUGUUAGCGGCGGACGGGUGAGUAACACGUGGAUAACCUACCUAUAAGACUGGGAUAACUUCGGGAAACCGUAGCUAAUACCGGAUAAUAUUUUGAACCGCAUGGUUCAAAAGUGAAAGACGGUCUUGCUGUCACUUAUAGAUGGAUCCGCGCUGCAUUAGCUAGUUGGUAAGGUAACGGCUUACCAAGGCAACGAUGCAUAGCCGACCUGAGAGGGUGAUCGGCCACACUGGAACUGAGACACGGUCCAGACUCCUACGGGAGGCAGCAGUAGGGAAUCUUCCGCAAUGGGCGAAAGCCUGACGGAGCAACGCCGCGUGAGUGAUGAAGGUCUUCGGAUCGUAAAACUCUGUUAUUAGGGAAGAACAUAUGUGUAAGUAACUGUGCACAUCUUGACGGUACCUAAUCAGAAAGCCACGGCUAACUACGU